UCCGGCUUAUCACCGGCAGUUUCUCUAGAGUGCCCAACUAAAUGGUAGCAACUAAAGACAAGGGUUGCGCUCGUUGCGGGACUUAACCCAACAUGUCACCACACGAGCUGACGACAGCCAUGCAGCACCUGUCUCCCGGCUGUAUUGCUACAGAAGACGUAUUUCUACGUUUGUCCGGGGAUGUCAAACCCAGGUAAGGUUUUGCGCGUUGCUUCGAAUUAAACCACAUGCUCCACCGCUUGUGCAGGCCCCCGUCAAUUUCUUUGAGUUUUAACCUUGCGGCCGUACUCCCCAGGCGGAUAACUUAAUGCGUUAGCUGCGCCACCAAAAGCCUAAGGCCCCUGACAGCUAGUUAUCAUCGUUUACGGCGUGGACUAC
rnacentral:misc_RNA from 1 species